GGUGCGUAGGUGGCAUGGCCAGUUUGAUGUGAAAGCUCAGGGCUUAACCCUGAAAUGGCAUUGAAUACUGCCGUGCUGGAGGUUUGGAGGGGGGACUGGAAUUCUUGGUGUAGCAGUGAAAUGCGUAGAUAUCAAGAGGAACACCAGUGGCGAAGGCGAGUCCCUGGACAACACCUGACACUGAGGCACGAAAGCUAGGGGAGCAAACAGGAUUAGAUACCCUGGUAGUCCUAGCCCUAAACGGUGCACGCUUGCUGUAAGAGGAAUCGACCCCUCUUGUGGCGAAGCUAACGCGAUAAGCGUGCCGCCUGGGGAGUACGGUCGCAAGAUUAAAACUCAAAGAAAUUGACGGGGGCCUGCACAAGCGGUGGAGUAUGUGGCUUAAUUCGAUGCAACGCGAAGAACCUUACCUGGCCUUGACAUGCAUGUGGUAGAACCAUGAAAGUGGGACGAUCCCGCAAGGGAAGCAUGCACAGGUGCUGCAUGGCUGUCGUCAGCUCGUGUCGUGAGAUGUUGGGUUAAGUCCCGCAACGAGCGCAACCUCUAUGUCCUGUUGCCACUCCUUUGAGAGAAGGGAGCACUCUGGACAGACUGCCUCGCUUAAACGGGGAGG
rnacentral:rRNA from 1 species